rnacentral:rRNA from 1 species
GAUCAACGCUGGCGGCGUGCCUUACGCAUGCAAGUCGCACGGCUCGGACUUCGGUCCGGGUAGUGGCGGACGGGUGAGGAACACGUACGUGACCUGCCUGGUAGUGGGGAUACCGCCUCGAAAGGGCGUUAUACCGCAUGUGGUCUUCUUUCUGCGGGGAGAAGAGUAAAGCCGCAAGGUGCUAUCAGAGGGGCGUGCGGCGGAUUAGCCAGUUGGUGGGGUAACGGCCUACCAAAGCGACGACCGUAGCUGGUCUGAGAGGACGGCCAGCCACACGGGGACUGA